GAUGAACGCUGGCGGCGUGCCUAAUACAUGCAAGUCGAGCGAAUGGAUUAAGAGCUUGCUCUUAUGAAGUUAGCGGCGGACGGGUGAGUAACACGUGGGUAACCUGCCCAUAAGACUGGGAUAACUCCGGGAAACCGGGGCUAAUACCGGAUAACAUUUUGAACCGCAUGGUUCGAAAUUGAAAGGCGGCUUCGGCUGUCACUUAUGGAUGGACCCGCGUCGCAUUAGCUAGUUGGUGAGGUAACGGCUCACCAAGGCAACGAUGCGUAGCCGAGCGGAGCGGGUGAUCGGCCACACGGGGACUGGGACACGGCCCAGACUCCUACGGGAGGCAGCAGUAGGGAAUCUUCCGCAAUGGACGAAAGUCUGACGGAGCAACGCCGCGUGAGUGAUGAAGGCUUUCGGGUCGUAAAACUCUGUUGUUAGGGAAGAACAAGUGCUAGUUGAAUAAGCUGGCACCUUGACGGUACCUAACCAGAAAGCCACGGCUAACUACGUGCCAGCCGCCGCCGUAA
rnacentral:rRNA from 1 species